AUGGUAAAAUUUCAGAUCUGCUACAGUUUUCAUGUUCCCUUGGAUGUUCAUAUAUUUCUCUCUCUCUCUUUAUUCUUUUCUUUCCCAGUUAAUAGAAUAUUCUGUAAAACAGAAGCAGAACCUCAGGAGAUAAAAAAGAAGGCUACAGUGGAGAAAUUUAAGAACAUGUCUUUCCCCCACCAGGCAAUAAGAUGUGCUACUGGCAGAGCUGUGAAGAUUAAAUGGAAUGAAUUUACAUAUGCAAAAGCACACAGACAGGGUUCUAAGCAAAGGUGAGUAGCCUUCUGUAAUUUAUUGAAUGCUAGUACAUGCAGCAAACUAGACCAGCCUCUUUAAGGGUCCUUCUUCUGAGGAAACUUAAAAUCUAACUGAGGAAUCAUACAGACACACAGAAGAUAUGUAAUUACAUAUCAAUUUACAUUUUCAGAAAACUCACUUAGGACUUUGCAAAUUUUUAUCACCAUUUGAAAUUUAUCUUGUAAUUUGAUCCUGGUGCUUACUCACAAUUUAAUUUUAGGUGGCCCCUUUUACACCUUCCCUCUGCCUUCUGCACUUGGCCCCCUUGACAUCAAAGUUAUACUAAUGGAAAAACUGCACCUCCCCACCUUGCAGCAUGUUAACAGUCACUACUGCAGUUGCAUGGUGUGCAAGGAGUAGAUCUGGACAGGAAUCUGUCUUCCAGACCUUUUGUUCUCUGUCUGCACCUGCUGAUUUGCAUCUUAGUUACCCAGGAUAGACCAGUUUUUUUGCUUAGCCAUGAAAGUUUCAAAGGAAGAGGGGAAGUAAUAUUAACCAAUCAUGGAAAUAGGGGUCAGAGUUGUUGCCAUCCCCCGCUGCAUGCGGGCUAGUUGACUUUUUGUGAUCUUUCUUUAGAUGCUAUCUUGUUCACAUAGUUUGUUUGUUAGAUGAUUGAAGGGGAAGCUAGGGGAGAGAUCUGAUCGCUUUUAAUAAUUUUUCAUUUUCUAUUUUUUGAUCUACAGAAAGAAUCAAGGGGUUAGGCAAGGUAAUGUGUAAUCAAAAGAUUUGAAAAGUGUGCUUGAGCUGGAGAUGAGUAGAGCAGGGGGUACCUGGUUUAAGUUUAGUUACAGUAUAGCUAUGCUGAAGUGACAAGGCAGAAGGAGUUUCCUGCUGAGGGCAGUUUUCUGCUUAUAGGAUCAGUGAAAUAAAACAUUCUCAGGGUGCUGGACA
rnacentral:lncRNA from 1 species